ACUCCUACGGAGGCAGCAUGGGAUAUUGCACAAUGGGCGCAAGCCUGAUGCAGCCAUGCCGCGUGUAUGAAGAAGGCCUUCGGGUUGUAAAGUACUUUCAGCAGUGAGGAAGGUGGUAGUGUUAAUAGCACUAUCAUUUGACGUUAGCUGCAGAAGAAGCACCGGCUAACUCCGUGCCAGCAGCCGCGGUAAUACGGAGGGUGCGAGCGUUAAUCGGAAUUACUGGGCGUAAAGCGCAUGCAGGUGGUUUGUUAAGUCAGAUGUGAAAGCCCGGGGCUCAACCUCGGAAUUGCAUUUGAAACUGGCAGACUAGAGUACUGUAGAGGGGGGUAGAAUUUCAGGUGUAGCGGUGAAAUG
rnacentral:rRNA from 1 species